rnacentral:sRNA from 1 species
CGGCAUAAGACUCUGUCUGAUGCCACGCCUGACCGAGAGUCGGCAAUUAAUCUAUCACGAUGCUUAAUUGGUCGUGGCUUAGCUUGUUGUCAGUCGUCGUGUUUAACUUCGCAACGUGUUGUUGAGUUGUCAAGUUGACGGAUCAUUGACGCUUGCCAAACUUAAUGGAGAGUGUGUUGCAUACUUCUGCCGGUAGCCUGUCUACGUUGGUUAAAUUCUCUUGUGCGUAGUUUGUUUGCAUUUUUAUGCAUACCGGUCGGGAGGGUUUAACUUUCGUUGUCAGUGCGUGUUUACCAGUGGUGUUGUCGUGGCGUGGGAAUUUCAAUAAGCAUUUAUGAAUGGUAAUUGGUAAAUUGUCGACAUAUAUGCUGUUCUCUUGAGACUUUGGCCCACGGGUUAUGCAGUGGCCAGUGUUGCUUUGAAUGUCAGCGCAUGCAUGGCAGGUCGCAGCCUAUUGUGAUCGUUACGAGGUGACUUGUCUGUGUUCUGCAUUUAGAGUUUGGCAUUGCGAGUAUGGCCCGAAAUGAGACUGUGCCCAUGUCCAGUUGUGCUAACAUUGCUUUUCCACUGGUUGCAAGGUGCUUGUCGGUGUCGCCAGUAUUCUAUGUGUUUGGUGCACACCUGAUCUCGGAUUAGACGUGGUUACCCGCUGAACUUAAGCAUAUCAAUAAGCGGAGGAAAAGAAACUAACCAGGAUUCG